GCCCAAAACAUUGCCUCACUCCCAGUAAAUAUUCAAUAAAUGUGUAUUGGAUGAACUCAAAGAAAAGCCAACACUGAACUUUUGACCUUAAAGUUCAUAGCCAUAGAGAGUGUUCAGCUUUGGCUGAUUCAUAGGACUUAGAUGAUUUAAACUCAGCUGGGAAAAUUUACCCAUAUUCCCUGGAAGAGGUUUAAUUGGACUAAGCAAGGGGAUGACUUCUGGCAAGUCCAUGAAAAUCACCCACCGAGAGUCAUGGGCAGUUUUCCCUGGAGCUUCCUGGCAAAAGCAGUGACAAAUGUCUAAUUGUGCCUCCCUGUGAAACAAGGACCUGUGUGCCAGAGAAAACAUUUUGUCAAGGUGCUCAGGAAUGCAAAAGAGAUUUCUUGGACAUGCCUGUUAAUAUAAUGACAAGGCAGAGCAGAGUGUGGAACACACAUCCAUCAAAUCAACCAACAGAUUACAGCUGCAGAAAUUCUGGGGAGCCUUGUAGGGACUCCCGGGAGGACAGAUCAGGUAGGGACUGCCCACCUUCCCUGCGCUGGGUCUCCCUCUCUCAGCUUCCCCUUUAAACCAAGGACUGUCCUGAGUGCUUCACAGAUGGGCCCUCACCUGACCCACAUCAACUCGGAAAGGACAGCGUGAUACCCAUUUGACAGGUUGAAGUGUUAAGGCUCGGAGAGAUGAGAUCUCAUGUUGAGUCACCCAGCAGAGGUAGGUGGAACUGGGGGUGAAGUCCAGGUCCUCAGUGACACCUUCCUCACACAGGCAGCUGCAAGUCAUGGACCUGGAGACGAAGAGCAAUGCUUCUCUGGUACCUGCCAUUACCCUCAUUCCCCAGACCAGAAAGCUGCAUCUCUAUCCACUAGCACUGGAGGUGGGAAGUCCAAAACAGGUCUCAUGGAGCAAAAUCAAGGUGCCAGCAGGGCUUCAAUCAUUUUUGAAGGCUGCAGGGAAGAAUCAUUCCUGGCUUUUUCCAGCCAUCAGAGGUCACCUCCAUUCCUAGAUUCAUGAUCCCCUUCCAUCUUCAAAGCCAGCAAUGGCCCAGCGAGUCCUUACAUGGAAUCACUCCAACAUUGACUCCUCUUCUGCCUCCCUCUUUCACCUUUUAAGGACUCUCAUGAUUACAUGGGCCCACCCUGGAAGAGUCUGUGACACGACUGAGUGACUGAGCACCCUGAUAAUUCAGCAUGAACUCUCGAUUUUACGGGCUUUGAUUAGCAACUUUAAUCCCAUCUGCAAUCUUAAUUCCCCCUUUCUACAUAACCUAACAUCACAAAUUCUUGAGAUUAGAGGGUGGACAUCUUAAGGGGUGGGCAGAGUUAUUCCCCCUGCCACACCUGGAAGACCCCAUUUACUUCCCCAAUAUGCUGGGUGGGGGAAGGCAGGGAAUAGGCUAUGGGAAUAAACGGGCUUACCAUCAAAAGCUUAUCUUUGGGGCCACUAGAAGAAUCCCCUGUCUCCCCAGUCUUGGCCUUGAGGUCCGGCCUCCCAGGCUUACUACUCACUCGUGUCUGAAUCCUGACUCACCCCUAAAUCUCCCCAGCUUGACCAACCUCCCAGCCAUCCUGACUCACCCCACUUAGCACCAAACUGUACAAAUG
ensembl:lncRNA